UGGGGAAUUUUGGACAAUGGGCGAAAGCCUGAUCCAGCAAUGCCGCGUGUGUGAAGAAGGCCUUCGGGUUGUAAAGCACUUUUGUCCGGAAAGAAAUGGCUCUGGUUAAUACCUGGGGUCGAUGACGGUACCGGAAGAAUAAGGACCGGCUAACUACGUGCCAGCAGCCGCGGUAAUACGUAGGGUCCAAGCGUUAAUCGGAAUUACUGGGCGUAAAGCGUGCGCAGGCGGUUGUGCAAGACCGAUGUGAAAUCCCCGAGCUUAACUUGGGAAUUGCAUUGGUGACUGCACGGCUAGAGUGUGUCAGAGGGGGGUAGAAUUCCACGUGUAGCAGUGAAAUGCGUAGAGAUGUGGAGGAAUACCGAUGGCGAAGGCAGCCCCCUGGGAUAACACUGACGCUCAUGCACGAAAGCGUGGGGAGCAAACAGGAUUAGAUACCCUGGUAGUCCACGCCCUAAACGAUGUCAACUAGUUGUUGGGGAUUCAUUUCCUUAGUAACGUAGCUAACGCGUGAAGUUGGACCGCCUGGGGAGUACGGUCGCAAGAUUAAAAGCUCAAAUG
rnacentral:rRNA from 1 species